rnacentral:rRNA from 1 species
UCCACGCCCUAAACGAUGAUAACUCGAUGUUGGCGAUAGACAGCCAGCGUCCCAGCGAAAGCGUUAAGUUAUCCACCUGGGGAGUACGCCCGCAAGGGUGAAACUCAAAGGAAUUGACGGGGGCCCGCACAAGCGGAGGAGCAUGUGGUUUAAUUCGAUGAUACGCGAGGAACCUUACCCGGGCUUGAAAGUUAGUGAAGAGUGCAGAGACGCACUCGUC